UGCGAGUGAUGACAUCCUGUUUCCCUGACAUGACUGUGAGGGUAAAAGCUGAUUUAAUGAGCCUGACUC
ensembl:snoRNA small nucleolar RNA, C/D box 57